rnacentral:rRNA from 1 species
UACGUAGGGUCCGAGCGUUGUCCGGAAUUAUUGGGCGUAAAGAGCUCGUAGGCGGUUUGUCGCGUCUGCUGUGAAGUCCCGAGGCUCAACCUCGGGCCUGCAGUGGGUACGGGCAGACUGGAGUGCGGUAGGGGAGAAUGGAAUUCCUGGUGUAGCGGUGGAAUGCGCAGAUAUCAGGAGGAACACCGAUGGCGAAGGCAGUUCUCUGGGCCGUAACUGACGCUGAGGAGCGAAAGCGUGGGGAGCGAACAGG